rnacentral:misc_RNA from 1 species
GAUGAAGAACGCAGCGAAAUGCGAUAAGUAAUGUGAAUUGCAGAAUUCAGUGAAUCAUCGAAUCUUUGAACGCACCUUGCGCCCUUUGGCCAUUCCGAAGGGCAUGCCUGUUUGAGUAUCAUGAACACCUCAACUCUCAUGGCUUGCCAUGAUGAGCUUGGACUUUGGGGGUCUUGCUGGCCUGUGGUCGGCUCCUCUCAAAUGAAUCAGCUUGCCAGUGUUUGGUGGCAUCACAAGUGUGAUAACUAUCUGCGCUCGUGGUUUCCAUCAGAUAACCUCCAGUGAUGGAGGUUCGCUGGAGCUCAUAAAUGUUUCUCCUAAGCGAGGACAGCUCUUUUAAUGUUUGAUCUCAAAUCAGGUAGGACUACCCGCUGAACUUAAGCAUAUCAAUAAGCGGAGGA